rnacentral:rRNA from 1 species
GCGGUAGGAGAGUGUUCUAUGUCGGAUGAAGCAUUACUGUAAGGUAGUGUGGACUUCAUAGAAGUAAGAAUGCUAGCAUGAGUAACGACGACGAGUAAAAAUCUCGUCCGCCGAAACAGUAAGGAUUCCUACGCAACGUUUAUCGUCGUAGGGUUAGCCGAGACCUAAGACUUUCCUAGAAAUAGGAUGCCGAUGGAUAGCAGGUUAAUAUUCCUGCGCUUAUUUAUACAGUGAUGUGGUAACACAUUGGGAUAACUGAGAGCUCACUAAGGAUGUGAGUCAAGAUUACAAGGUGAUUCCGACUUGUCGGAAUGUACAUGUAGGGAAGUCCGCAUGUGUUUCAAAUCGAGUUUGAUUGAAAAUGAUCCUCUCGGGGUGAUUUAUUCUCAUCGUUCUGGUGUCGAGAAAACCCACUAAACUUAUGUAUAAGUAACUCGUACUCAGAUCAAACACCUGUACUGUGGUAGAGAAUACCAAGGCGAUUGGGUUAACUAAUGGAUAAGGAACUUGGCAAAUUAGCGGGCGUACUUUCGAAAUAAGCCCUGCCUGAGCGAUCAGGCCGCAGCGAAUGACGUGGGGGGGACUGUUUAUCACAAACACAGCUCUCUGCUAACAUGCAAAUGGAUGUAUAGAGGGUGAUGCCUGUCCAAUGCCAGAAUGUUACUCUCUCUUGUGAAAGCUCGAGAGUUAAGCACUGGUGAAUGACGGCCGUAACUAUGACGGUCCUAAGGUAGCGAAAUUCCUUGUCGGGUAAGUUCCGACGCGCAUGAACGGCACAACCAUCCCCACACUGUCUUGUCCUUAGACCCAGUGAAAUUAUAAUCCUGGUAAAAAUACCAGGUAGUUGCAGUUAGACGGAAAGACCCUAUGAAGCUUUACUGUAGAUUGAUAUUGGGCUGUAGCAUGAAUUGCUCAGCAUAGGUGGGAGGCUUUGAGGUUUCUCCUUCGGGAGGGGCUGAGCCAUCGUUGAGAUACCACCCAAAGCAUGUCGCAUCUCUAACCUCAAAAAGAUGGGGAACAGUGUCAGUUGGACAGUUUACCUGGGGCGGGUGCCUCCUAAAAAGUAACGGAGGCGUACAAAGGUUUGCUUACUACGGAUGGAAACCGUGGUGGACGUGUAUUCGCACAAGCAAGCUUAACUGUGAGACUUACAGGUCGAACAGAUAGGAAACUAGGUGAAAGUGAUCCGGAUCUUCCAAGUGGAAGGGGAUCCGCUCAACGGAUAAAAGUUACUCUGGGGAUAACAGGCUAAUGGUAUCUAAGCGUUCAUAGCGACGAUACCGUUUGGCACCUCGAUGUCGGCUCGUCGCAUCCUGGGGCUGUAGAAGGUCCCAAGGGUUGGGUUGUUCACCCAUUAAAGCGGAACGCGAGCUGGGUUCAGAACGUCGUGAGACAGUUCGGUCCCUAUCUACUGUAACCGUAAGAAAUUUGAAAGGUGCUGUCCCUAGUACGAGAGGACCGGGAUGGACUAGCCUCUGGUAGUACCAGUUGUCGCACCAGCGGCACGGCUGGAUAGCUAUGCUAGGAAAAGGUAACCACUGAAAGCAUCUAAGUGGGAAACUUGCCUUAAGAUUAGAUUUCUCUCUCUUUAUGAGUUAAGAACCCUGCGAGACUAGCAGGUUGAUAGGCGUCAUGUGUAAGUCCAGUGAUGGAUUCAGCAGAGAUGUACUAAUAGUUCGAGCGAGUUUU